rnacentral:rRNA from 1 species
GAUGAACGCUAGCGACAGGCCUAACACAUGCAAGUCGAGGGGCAGCACGAAGUAAGCUUGCUUACUUUGGUGGCGACCGGCGCACGGGUGCGUAACAGGUGUGCAAUCUGUCCAUAAUCGGGGAAUAGCCCAGCGAAAGUUGGAUUAAUGCUCCAUGUGAGUUUUAGAGGCAUCUCUUUAAUUUGAAACGUAAGGAUUAUGGGUGAGCACGCUUCUGAUUAGGUAGUUGGUGAGGUAACGGCUCACCAAGCCGACGAUCAGUAGGGGUUCUGAGAGGAAGGUCCCCCACAUUGGAACUGAGACACGGUCCAAACUCCUACGGGAGGCAGCAGUGAGGAAUAUUGGUCAAUGGGCGAAAGCCUGAACCAGCCAAGCCGCGUGAAGGAUGAAGGUUCUAUGGAUUGUAAACUUCUUUUGUCUGAGGGUAAAAAAGCGGACGUGUCCGUUCCUGCAAGUAUCAGACGAAUAAGCUCCGGCUAACUCCGUGCCAGCAGCCGCCGCUGUAA